GGCUUUAUGGUCUAAUUAUGAUUUUAAAUUGCAAGUUUAAAGGUGGGUUAAUCUUAACUCUAAGGCUU
rnacentral:tRNA from 1 species